rfam:Solanum tuberosum cultivar DM 1-3 516 R44 scf00263_65, whole genome shotgun sequence.
GAGAGUCAAAUAAAUCGAAAGAUUCAUGUUUGGUUCGGGAAGGGAUUAUGGAAUUUUGGAAUGAAAUGGAAAAAUAGUCUACUUUCAU